rnacentral:rRNA from 1 species
UAGGGAACCUUCGGCAAUGGACGAAAGUCUGACCGAGCAACGCCGCGUGAGUGAAGAAGGUUUUCGGAUCGUAAAACUCUGUUGGUAGAGAAGAACGUUGGUGAGAGUGGAAAGCUCAUCAAGUGACGGUAACUACCCAGAAAGGGACGGCUAACUACGUGUCAG